rnacentral:tRNA from 2 species
GCAGGGGUAUCGAAGCCCGGUCAACCGAGAGGGACUCAAGAUCCAAAUAGGAAAUCCCUUCCCUCAGGGGUUCGUGGGUUCAAAUCCCACCCCCUGCA